UAUGCCACUGGCGCAAGCCGGGAAGGCGCCCGCCGGGGACGAUCCCAAGUCAGAAGACCGGCCAGAUGACCUCUUGAAGCU
rnacentral:ncRNA from 13 species